UACGUAGGGGGCAAGCGUUGUCCGGAAUCAUUGGGCGUAAAGCGCGUGUAGGCGGCUCGAUAAGUCUGCUGUAAAAGUCCAGGGCUCAACCCUGGAAAGCCGGUGGAAACUGUCGAGCUAGAGUCCGGAAGAGGCGAGUGGAAUUCCUGGUAUAGCGGUGAAAUGCGCAGAUAUCAGGAGGAACACCAAUGGCGAAGGCAGCUCGCUGGGACGGUACUGACGCUGAGACGCGAAAGCGUGGGGAGCAAACAGG
rnacentral:rRNA from 1 species